UGAGGAAUAUUGCGCAAUGGGGGCAACCCUGACGCAGCGACGCCGCGUGAAUGAGGAAGGCCUUCGGGUCGUAAAGCUCUGUCAAAGGGAAAGAAGUGCAUGGUGGCUAAUACAUGCCAUGUUGGACGAUACCCUUAAAGGAAGCACCGGCUAACUCCGUGACAGCAGCCGCGGUAAUACGGAGGGUGCAAGCGUUGUUCGGAAUCACUGGGCGUAAAGGGCGCGUAGGCGGUUUGAUAAGUCAGAUGUGAAAGCUCACGGCUUAACCGUGGAAGUGCAUUUGAAACUGUUAGUCUUGAGUGUCAGAGGGGCAAGUGGAAUUGCCGGUGUAGAGGUGAAAUCCGUAGAUAUCGAGAGGAAUACCCGUGGCGAAGGCGAGUUGCUGGACCACACCUGACACUGAGGCACGAAAGCUUGGGGAGCAAACA
rnacentral:rRNA from 1 species